rnacentral:rRNA from 1 species
AUUGAACGCUGGCGGCAGGCCUAACACAUGCAAGUCGAACGAGCGGCGGACGGGUGAGUAAGGUAUGGGAAACUGCCCGAUGGAGGAGGAUAACAACUGGAAACGGUAGCCAAUACAGCAUACCAUCGGAUGUGCCCAGAGGGGAUUAGCUAGUAGGUGGGGUAACGGUUCACCUAGGCGACGAUCCCUAGCGGGUCUGAGAGGAUGACCAGCCACACUGGAACGGAGACACGGUCCAGACUCCUACGGGAGGCAGCAGUGGGGAAUAUUGCACAAUGGGAGCAAGCCUGAUGCAGCCAUGCCGCGUGUGUGAAGAAGGCCUUCGGGUUGUAAAGUACUUUCAGCGAGGAGGCGUUACUCGCAGAAGAAGCACCGGCUAACUCCGUGCCAGCAGCCGCGGUAAUAC